GAUGAACGCUGGCGGCGUGCCUAAUACAUGCAAGUCGAGCGAACGGACGAGGAGCUUGCUCCUUUGACGUUAGCGGCGGACGGGUGAGUAACACGUGGAUAACCUACCUAUAAGACUGGGAUAACUUCGGGAAACCGGAGCUAAUACCGGAUAAUAUAUUGAACCGCAUGGUUCAAUAGUGAAAGACGGUUUUGCUGUCACUUAUAGAUGGAUCCGCGCCGCAUUAGCUAGUUGGUAAGGUAACGGCUUACCAAGGCAACGAUGCGUAGCCGACCUGAGAGGGUGAUCGGCCACACUGGAACUGAGACACGGUCCAGACUCCUACGGGAGGCAGCAGUAGGGAAUCUUCCGCAAUGGGCGAAAGCCUGACGGAGCAACGCCGCGUGAGUGAUGAAGGUCUUCGGAUCGUAAAACUCUGUUAUUAGGGAAGAACAAAUGUGUAAGUAACUAUGCACGUCUUGACGGUACCUAAUCAGAAAGCCACGGCCAACUACGUG
rnacentral:rRNA from 1 species